rnacentral:lncRNA from 9 species
AGCCUGGGAACCUCCAUAUGCUGUGGGUGUGGCCCUUAAAAAAAGAAAAAAUGAAAAUAAAAAAAUAAAAACAUUAAAAAUAUCAAAGUUUUUUGCAGAAUUCAAUUCAAAAUCAUUCAAUAUAUGUAAGAGUUUCUUGGUUUGGCAGAUCUUCCUAAGGGCUCUGUGACCAACUAUUGAAGACUUCACACUGCCCAACUCCAGGGGACACAAUUCACAUAGACUUCAUGUGCAUGAUCCUUCAUCCUGCCACCUUGAAGUCUGUACAGCACAGCAACCUCUGUCUACUCAGGAACCAAUCAAACAAGAUGAACCACUGCUCAAGAAAGGAAAUCACAGUUAAGUGAGGUAAAUGCGGAUGUUUGUCUUUCUCCAGGUACUUUUAAACUUAGAAAGUAGAUUUAGCAACAGGAAAAUGUGAAGAGGUGGCAUCUCUGAAGACACUUGUAAUUUCCUUGGGUUUCAUCAAACCCAGGAUUAAUUUCUUAAAGCAUGACCCUGAGUGCCUGGUCUAGCAGCACCAGGCCUGGGACCAGGAAUUGAUCUAGGGAGUUGUUUCCUAAAUAAAACUGAAAAUUUACCAUACCCCAUGUGACCCAGAUACUUUUAUCUACUGAAAAUCUGAUACUUGGUUGACAUGAUUUUGGCCCCUUAAACUUUAAUUACCUCAUAAAAGACAAAAAUAAAAAUAAAAAUAAAUAAAAAUGCAGGUUUGAUCCCUGGCCUUGCUUGAGGGUGGGUUGAGGAUCUGGCGUUGCCGUGAGCUGUGGUGUAGGUCACAGACACAGCUCGGAUCCCCCGUUGCUGUGGCUGUGGUGUAGGCUGGUGGCUACAGCUCGGAUUAAACCCCUAGCCUGGGAACCUCCGUAUGCUGUGGGAGUGGCCCUAGAAAAGGCAAAAAGACAAAAAUAAAGAGUGGUUACCUCAAUAUGAUUCUCUCUUCUCCAGUCUUCCAACUUUAGGACUUGAAUAGAAUUGAGCCUGGUUCACUCAGAUUGGAAAUGUCUCUUAUCAAACUUUACAUUUAGUGUUUUUUUGUUUGUUUGUUUGUUUGUUUGUUUGUUUUUUGGUCUUUUUAGGGCCGCACCCUCGCAUAUGGAGUUUCCCAGGCUAGGGGUCCAACCAGAGCUGUAGCUGCCGGCCUACACCACAGCCACAGCAACGCAGAAUCUGAGCUGCACCUUUGACCUACAGCACAGCUCACAGCAACGCCAGAUCCUUAACCCCUGAGCAAGGCCAGGGAUAAAACCUGCAUCUUCAUGGAUACUAGUUGGGUUCAUUAACCACUGAGCCACAAUGGAAAUUCCCUACACUUUGAUUUUUGAACCUGAGUUUUACCAAUUGUGAUUACUAGUUUCUAUAAGCUCUUCAGAAAAAAGCUUUAUUAAAUAUUUUUAAAUUAUUUUCAUGUAUAUUCUGAACAAAAAUACUAUAUUAUGAUUGUUUAAAAAAUGUUUUUAGACAGUGACUGUAUUUUCUUUAUAUAAAUUAUGUAUAAUCAGAAACACUGUGUAUGGUUUCAGUGUCUAUGUACAAUGCAUGUCUACCAGUUUUAUUUUGUCAUGUAAUGUCAGCUUAUUCUAUUAUCGAUGAUAUAGCAAUCACAAGAUAUAAAUAGUCUUCAAAUAACUCACCAACCUUCCUGCAGCACUCUGUCACCAACUUCCAUGCCCUCAAGUGGAACUGACCAGAAACUUCAACUUCUCUUUAUGAUUCACACAGAGUGAAAAUCACUACUCAGCAAAGCAAACAUAUAGUUCAAGGGUUAGAAAAACAGAUUUAUUUUUCUUCCUUGUUAUUAACUUACAUAUGUUUCAUGCUCAAGUAAAAAUGUCUUAUCAUGAGAACAUAAAUUUUCUCUUUUGCAACUUGAAUGUUCAAAAGUAACCGGAAUUUUACCAGUUCCUGAUUUUCUUUUCUAAGCAUACACAGAUAACUUAGCUAAAAUUAAUUCCAUAGUUCCAUCAUGAUUUCACAAACCAUGUCUGAAAACAGAAUUGUUUAAUUAUUAUUAUUUUAUUUAGCCACAUCUGCGGCCCAUGGAAGUUCCCAGGCCAGGGAUCAAACUCAUGCCAGACCAGCAACCAGACCUGUUGCAGUGACAUAGCUGCUGUGCCACGAGGGAAAUCUGGAAAAGUCUAAUUGUUAAAGGCAGAUGAGGCUUAGGAAAGAAAGAGGUCCUGGACCAUAAUUUGGAGCUAUUUGGAGAAAUCACAUACAUUAGAAACAGUGUAUCUCUAUUGCUACUUCCACAAGCCUUGAUUUCCACAGUUGUUCACUUUUGAAUAAUUUAGAUAGGUUUUUAUGGUAAUGAAAAAGGUUUUACUCUGACUUCUCUGGUGACUAGUAUGAAACAGUCUGAAACAGGCAUUAUCUGCCUGAGAAACUGGCAUCUAACUUGGUUGUCCAUCAAAGAAGCAAGGGCAAGCCAAGGCCCAACUAUGACCUAAGGAAAAUUCCUGUACACGGGACAGCGUAAUGCCA